rnacentral:tRNA from 1 species
GCUUUCGUAGUUUAAUUGGAAACACGUGUAGCUAGCAAUUACAAAGUCCGGAGUUCGAAUCCUGGCCAGAGUA